GCGGCUGUGGUGUAGUGGUUAGCACUUGAGCCUUCCAAGCUCACGACCCGGGUUCGAAUCCCGGCAGCCGCACCA
rnacentral:tRNA from 1 species